AAAAGUCACAAAUAAAAGAGAAAUGCACAAAGCAACUAUGAAUAAACCAGCUACUCUGGUAAAUACGGGUCUUAGGAGAAUACUACUCCAUACAGCAAAAAAAUGAGGGAGAAGCUCCCACUAAAUUAUUCAAACUGAGAUCUCACCGGGAAGUUCAUUUAACCCUAAAAGAAAAGAAGUCUCUUUUUUCAUCGCCAUCAGACUUAUGCUCCACCGGACCCGUACUUCUUGCCGAAGAUUAUCAGCUGCAGUUUGUCAUAACCAGCUAGCACACCAGCACCCGCCACUGCACGGAGGAUGUUCGCACCAGCACCCUUGAACAGUGACUUGGCACCCUCAUUCUUCAGGAUCUGUUGGAAAGCAUCAAGAGAGCUCUUGUACUUAACUGCCUCACCAGAGGUCAUCAUCAUCCUUCUGCGAACAGUGUCAAUGGGAUAGGAAGCAAGCCCCGCACCAUUAGUGAUCAACCACCCGAGGGCAAAGCUAGCAAAGAAA
rnacentral:misc_RNA from 1 species